GUGGAUAAAAUUGACUAUCUUUCUCAAGAAGAAAAACAAAUGAAGUUUACUACUUUGCAAAGCCAUAGUUAGGAAUUUUCUUUUCUCUUUUUCUCUGCUAUAGUCAUCUAAUAAGUAAGAACAGUUAGAAGAAGAGAAGAUCGAAUUUGAAGUAUGUGAUUCGAUCUCAGACAUUUAUUUGAUUCGAUGCUAUUGAUGAUCGAAUCUAGAAUCUCAAUCACGUUUACCACCACCAUCUCCGACGGCACUAACUUCACCAGCGCCGAUGAAAGAACCAAUUCCCUCUCCGCCUCUCCAGUCACAAUCACGCACCGCCGCUUUCAUCCCCACUAAAAAUUCCAAAUCCCAAAUCACGCCGUCACCUAAUCCAU
rnacentral:lncRNA from 1 species